rnacentral:rRNA from 1 species
UGGGGAAUCUUGCGCAAUGGGCGAAAGCCUGACGCAGCAACGCCGCGUGAGCGAAGAAGGCCUUCGGGUUGUAAAGCUCUGUCAGGAGGAAAGAAGGCACCUGGGUUAACAGCCCAAGGGCUGACGGUACCUCCAAAGGAAGCCACGGCUAACUACGUGCCAGCAGCCGCGGUAAUACGUAGGUGGCAAGCGUUGUCCGGAAUCAUUGGGCGUAAAGAGCGCGUAGGUGGCUUGUCAGGUCUGGUGUGAAAUUUCGGGGCUCAACCCCGAGCCUGCAUCGGAAACCGGCUUGCUAGAGUCUGGGAGAGGAGAGUGGAAUUCCUGGUGUAGCGGUGAAAUGCGUAGAUAUCAGGAGGAACACCGGUAGCGAAGGCGGCUCUCUGGAACAGUACUGACGCUGAGGCGCGAAAGCUAGGGGAGCGAACAG